rnacentral:rRNA from 1 species
AACGAACGCUGGCGGCAGGCCUAACACAUGCAAGUCGAGCGGACAUCUUCGGAUGUUAGCGGCGGACGGGUGAGUAACGCGUGGGAACGUGCCCUUUGCUUCGGAAUAGCUUCGGGAAACUGGGAGUAAUACCGGAUGUACCCUUUGGGGGUAAGAUUUAACGGCAAAGGAUCGGCCCGCGUUGGAUUAGGUAGUUGGUGGGGUAAUGGCCUACCAAGCUGACGAUCCAUAGCUGGUUUGAGAGGAUGAUCAGCCACACUGGGACUGAGACACGGCCCAGACUCCUACGGGAGGCAGGAGUGGGGAAUCUUAGACAAUGGGGGAAACCCUGAUCUAGCCAUGCCGCGUGAGCGAUGAAGGCCUUAGGGUUGUAAAGCUCUUGCACCGGGGAAGAUAAUGACGGUACCCGGAGAAGAAGCCCCGGCUAACUACGUG